rnacentral:rRNA from 1 species
UACGGGGGGGGCAAGCGUUGUUCGGAAUUACUGGGCGUAAAGGGCUCGUAGGCGGCCAACUAAGUCAGACGUGAAAUCCCUCGGCUUAACCGGGGAACUGCGUCUGAUACUGGAUGGCUUGAGAUUGGGAGAGGGAUGCGGAAUUCCAGGUGUAGCGGUGAAAUGCGUAGAUAUCAGGAGGAACACCAAUAGCGAAGGCAGCUCGCUGGGACGGUACUGACGCUAAGGCGCGAAAGCGUGGGGAGCGAACAGG